CUGAAAACAAAUUAGUAGAAAACAGUGCCUCUACUUUUAAAAACUUCGAUCACAAAAUUUCUAAUCAAAUCAAAAUCCUAAUUUUACACUCUAAAUUACAUUACAAUGUUACACGAACUUCUACUCUCACUGUUAGGCUUCACCGGAGACCUAAUUAUUGACGACCAACAACACCGAUUAUCUGCCGCCGGCGACAACUUUAUCUCCGAUCAAUGCACUUUCAAACUCGCUUCAGAUAUUUCAUUUCUUCAACCUAGCGAACGAGAUAUUAUUGAGAGGGUGAUUACUUUAGGGUUUUACUAUCGUGAACUUGAUCGGUUUGCUACGAAGUCGCGUAAUUUAAGUUGGAUAAGUUCGAAAAACGUGUCUCCCUCUUUGUUAGGGGAAGAUAAGAUAAAGAGUCAGAGUGUGUACAAGAGGGCUAUCGCAAAUGGGAUUGUGGAGGUUCUGUCGGUUUACCGAUCUGCUGUUUUGCAUAUGGAGCAGAAGUUGCUUUCGGAUGCUCUGCCCAUUUUAGCAACGGUUACUCAGUCCUUGAACAAUUUUCAUGUUCUUUUGCCUCCUUUAUAUGAGCUGAUUCUUGAGAUCGAGCGUGAUGGGAUUUGUGGAGGGAAACUUCUUAAUCUUCUGCAUAAACGAUGCCAUUGUGGGGUGCCUGAAUUGCAGGCAUGCAUUCAAAGACUUCUAUGGCACGGGCAUCAGGUCAUGUAUAACCAACUUGCUUCCUGGAUGGUUUAUGGGAUUCUUCACGAUCAAUAUGGAGAAUUUUUCAUUUGCGAGCAAGAAGGAAACUCAGAGCGUGACUCAUCAUCCCACACAAACAUGACCGAGAAGUUAGCACGUAUGUCAGUUAAUGAUGGAUCUUUAAAUGAUUGGCACUUGGGAUUUCAUAUCUCCUUGGAUAUGUUGCCAGAAUAUAUUCCAAUCCAGGUGGCAGAAUCCAUUCUUUUUGCUGGCAAAGCAAUCCGGGUUCUUCGUAAUCCUAGUUCUGCCUUCCGUUCUGUGGAUGCUAGACAUAAAAAGCUGAUGGGGGAUGAACUACUGCCACAGUCAGAGGCUGAUAAGAUUGAAUCAAUGCUUAUAAACCUUAAGGAAUCAUCUGAGUUCCACAAAAGAUCAUUUGAGGGUGCUGUUGAUUCAAUCAGGGCUAUUGCAGCAAGCCAUCUUUGGCAGCUUGUGGUUGUACGUGCCGAUCUAAAUGGGCAUUUGAAGGCCAUCAAAGAUUACUUUCUUCUAGCAAAGGGUGAUUUCUUUCAGAGUUUUCUCGAAGAAAGCCGCCAGUUGAUGCGAUUACCCCCUAGGCAUUCAACUGCUGAAGCUGAUCUUAUGGUUCCAUUCCGUCUGGCUGUAACAAAGACCAUCAAUGACGAUGAUAAAUACUUUUCAAGAGUGACAUUACGGAUGCCUGCUAUUGGGAGUAAUGUUAAAUCUUCCAAAGUAGAUAUAUCAAGUUCCAAGCAUGCUGACAGUGAUUCAAAUUUGCUAUCUGAUACUUCUUUAGAGAUGUCCCUUGAUGGUUGGGAUGGUAUUGCCCUGGAAUAUUCUGUUGAUUGGCCUUUACAGUUGUUCUUCACACAAGAAGUUCUCUCGAGGUACCGUAGGAUAUUUCAGUAUUUACUGAGGCUAAAGCGAACACAAAUGGAGUUAGAGAAGUCAUGGGAAUCUGUAAUGCAACAAGAUCACUCAAUUUUUUCCAAACGUCACACUGAACGUGUGAAUGGAUCAAUGAUUCAACAGCGGCGCCAAUGCUUUAGACCUAUGUGGCGGGUGCGGGAGCAUAUGGCUUUUUUGAUUAGAAAUCUUCAGUUUUAUAUCCAGGUGGAUGUAAUAGAAUCCCAAUGGAAUGUAUUACAAACUCAUAUAGAGGAGUCACGGGAUUUUGCAGAGUUGGUGGACUUCCAUCAAGAAUACUUGUCAGCUUUGAUAUCACAAUCGUUCCUCGAUAUUGGUUCAGUAUCAAGGAUAUUGGAUGGGAUCAUGAAGCUCUGCUUGCAGUUCUGCUGGAAGAUUGAGAACCAGGAAACCAAUGCAAGCACCAAUGAGCUGGAACGUAUAUCCGAGGAAUUUAACAAGAAAUCAAAUUCCUUGUACACGAUAUUGCGUAGUAGCAGGCUUGCUGGUAGUCAGCGGGCCCCUUUUCUUAGACGUUUCCUUUUGCGACUGAAUUUUAAUUCCUACUUUGAGCAAACUGCCCAUGGAGUUAUGAACGUUGUCAGAACAAGACCAACAAUUCCACCUCUGCAGUGAUAGUGGCAGCAAAUCUUCCUAAAUUUUACAUUUUAUUCUGGUAAUCCUUUAAUAGAUGCAGAAGCUCCAAAAUUCGAUACGUUCAUCAUAUUGAAGAUUUUCUUGUAUUAGGAUUCAAGUAGAUAGCAGAAUUUGCUCGAGUCUGCAGCCCAGAAACUAGAACAGGCUAAUUUCCAAGCAGUGUUUUGAAAUAUGUGUGUGUGAUUGUCUUUCCUUGACAAGUGGACUAGAAAGCCGUGUGUAUGUAUACUUGUAUGCAGUGAGAAAUAUGUUCUUUUUUUUUUU